CUGGGCAGCAAUGCCGAGAGGAAAGUCCGGGCAGCACGAGCCACCAUGCUUCCUAACGGGAAGAGGCUGUGAGGGUAACCUUGCAGUUAUAGAAAGCGCCACAGAAAAGAUACCGCCCCGGAAGGUGUUACCGAUCCUCAGGGGUAAGGGUGAAAACGCGGGGUAAGAGCCCACGACGUGACCCGGCAACGGGCACGAUGGCAAGCCUCAUGGGCUGAAAGACCAUGUAUACCGGCUAGAUGUAGGGCAGGCUCGCCCGAUGCCGGGGGGUGGGUUGAUUGAGGUUGCUGGCGACAGCAACACUAGAUUAAUGAUAGGACACGACAGAACCCGGCUUACAGGCCCCU
rnacentral:RNase_P_RNA from 1 species